rnacentral:rRNA from 1 species
GACAGAGGUCCCGAGCGUUGUCCGGAAUCAUUGGGCGUAAAGCGCGUGUAGGCGGCUCGGUAAGUCUGCUGUGAAAGUCCAGGGCUCAACCCUGGGAUGCCGGUGGAUACUGUCGAGCUCGAGUCCGGAAGAGGCGAGUGGAAUUCCUGGUGUAGCGGUGAAAUGCGCAGAUAUCAGGAGGAACACCGGUGGCGAAGGCGCCACUCUGGGCCGGUACUGACGCUGAGGAGCGAAAGCGUGGGUAGCAAACAGG